rnacentral:lncRNA from 1 species
UUUUAAAUCUCCCAAUUCAUCACAAAUAUGAAAUUUCCCAACUUCAACUAGAAAAUAAGGUGUUUAGCCACUCAUGGUGGACAAAAACACAAAGAGAUAGAAGAAAGGAAGAUGGAGAGGCUGCCGCAGGCUUGCUGCUGUAAUUCUGCAGUGGUUCCGAUGGUGGAGAUGAUCCUUGCUGGUUUUGAUGCUGUCCCUUUUAUAGAUGGAGAAUCAUAAUCCAAUUAGGGUUUGGAAAUCCUAAUCUUGACUUGGUCUUUUGUAGUCUUUGAUUCCUCUUUUGAUUUUGUAUUUAAUUGUGAAUGGAAUUCUUUGAGUGAAAAGACCUUCUCGUGGCUCUUGGAAUUGACUUUGUAGUGUUUGAAGUAGGAUUGGACUUCUCCUGUUUUGAAUUUUGAUUUUCUGCUCUUCUUUCCCGCGCUUCUGGUUUCUCUGGCGUCAGUGUGAUUUGGGCGGGUGAUUUGGGCAAAUCACUUGCCCAAAUCGUUUCUGUGAAUCACUUUCAGGUUUCUGCCUUUAGCCUUCUGCCUUGGUUUUCUGCAGGUGAUUUGGUCAAAUCACUCUAGCCCAAUCAAUUUCCCAGCUUUUUCUGCACUUUUUCUCCAACUUUCCAUUUUCUCCCUUUUCUGCAAAAACAUUACAAAAACAUAAAUUAAGCUGAAAAUUUGUGUAAUUAAACAGUAAUAAAGAUAGAAAAAAAUGUGGCUAAAUUAUGUUUGAUGAGAAGGGCAUAAGAGUUACUUCCAAUAUAGUUUAAUCUAAUUAGAUUAAGGCCCUAUUUUGUUUGGUAUUGAGUUUUAAGGUCAAAUAACAUUUUUUAUGCAGUUUGAAGAAUCUGUUUUGUAUUUUAGUAUUUUUAUGGUUAAAACAUGUCAAAUAAGCUUAAUCCUUUUUUGAUAUUUUAACUAAUAUAUUUAAGCAAGUGUUUUUCUCCAUAGCAUCUCUAAUAGCAAUGCCAAAGACCCUAUAUCAAGUUGAACACUUCCAUUUUUUAAAAACUAGCUUUGUCAGAAUGCUACCUUUCAUAUAUAGUGUUAAUAAUUUAUUAUGACUUUAUUCUCGAUUAAAUAAUCCUAGAGCAUUUGGAUAUUUUAAUAAUUGUUUCAUCCAAAAUGUAUAAUGUCUUGCUGUUAAUUUUAAGUUUUUGGCUGCUAGGAUUAAUAAUCUGCAGCUAGAUUGUUAUUGAGAUUCAAUAUACUUUAUAAAAGAAUCAUUAGCUUCAGGAUUACGUAACUGGGAGAUUUGAGCUGCCUCUCGACAGGUUGUCAUAGAUUACUUAAUGUAACAAGCAAGUUAAUCAGGUAGUGUUUCUCGGAUACUUCUUGAAGGUUGGUUGCAAAGUCAACGUGGCUAUUGAGCAUAACAAUUUCUGACAUAGUUCCUUCAGUGGAUAUGUUGCCUUCUCAAUAUUUUAGUUAUUAUUUGAAGCACAUCUUGUCGUAGUGAAUUUGGGUGUCAAUCAUUUGCAGCUAGAAAUGUACUUCUUGGUAAAGUAGCAGUUGAAAUUUGAUUUUUAAUAUUAUAUUGCAUGAUAUCAAUGUCUGAAGUUAGUGCCAAAUGAUUUUUUUUUCCUGAAGGUUUUCUGCUGUACAAUCUCAAACAUUUAGAGUUACAAACGGGAUACACACAAUAUGAUCUUCUCGGUAUGGCUGCAUUGCUCAAGUUUACUCCCAAUUUCAAGUCAAUGAUUUUUAAUUAUCUUUCUGAGAUUGACAAAGAUGCGAGUACUCUUGCACUACCCUUUUUUUUUUCCUUUUAAUCUGAUCCACUGGUUGCAAUAGAGGUUGAGCUUGUCCUUGAACUGGGAAUCUCAACAAGCUAUUUUUCUGUUUUCCAGGAGAGUUUGUCAGAAGAACUCUUAAAUUAAAAUCUCAGGAUGCCUAGUCUCGAGGAAGUGAAGGAUGAAACAAUUUACUGGAACAGAAAUGAAGCUCAUUUCUUGGCACUUUUAAAACACAAGGAAUGGUCUUAGAAAAGAUAGUUAUGGUUCCUACAGAAAGUGAAUGAUGCUCAAUACUCUCCUAUAGUUUUGAGCAAAAGGCUGAAGAAUUGAGGUCUUAGAAUGAUCAUAUCCAGAAAUGGAAUUAUAUACUUAGCAUUGAAUUAGCUAUUACUUGAGAGGAACAACACACAAACAUACUGGUUUCAUCUAUUUUACAUGAAGUUGUGAACUGAGAGCAGCAUUAACCUUUAUCUUCUCAUUGAAAACCAGCCAUGGACGAGGAAUUUUAGAUCCCCGAGCAUUGACCUGAGUUUUGGUGGGGAAAACACAGAGAUAUUAAGACAAGCUAAGAGAAUUCAGAGAACUUAUAAUCAUUUUGGAUAUGAGAACACAGGAUAAGAAUAUGACAGAAGAAAAACAAGAUUCACAGAGUACAGAAGUACUUGUCUAUCCUCCAUAAUUUUCAGAGCAAACGACUUUUCAUUAACAUAUGACUCACCACAACAGAGGAAAUUCCUGGAAGGAGUGAGCAGUUGAGCCGCCAUUAAUGGAUUGAUCAACUGAAAAGGAAUUGCCUCAAUGAUCAACAGUAGGCUUUUCUACAUUAAGUGCUUCCAAAGUAAUCGGAACGACG